rnacentral:rRNA from 1 species
CCAGCAGCCGCGGUAAUACGUACGGGUCUAGCGUUGUUCGGAAUCACUGGGCGUUAAAGGGAUGUUAGUCGUACCGGUAAGCUAGGAGUUAAAUGUACGGGCUCAACCCGUGAUCUGCUUUUAAUACUGUCGGUCUUGAGUAAUGGGAGAGGGAGAUGGAAUUCCAGGUGUAGCGGUGGAAUGCGUAGAUAUCUGGAAGAACACCAGUUGCGAAGGCGGUCUCCUGGACCAAUACUGACGCUGAUGCUCGAAAGCUGGGGGAGCGAACAGGAUUAGAUACCCUGGUAGUCCCAGCCGUAAACGAUGGACACUAGUUGCCGGAGGAGUCAAUCCCUUCGGUGACGAAGCUAACGCAUUAAGUGUCCCGCCUGGGGAGUACGCUCGCAAGGGUGAAACUCAAAGGAAUUGACGGGGGCCCGCACAAGCGGUGGAGCAUGUGCUUUAAUUCGAUGCAACGCGAAGAACCUUACCUGGGUUUGACAUGGGGGUGAAAGUUUCCAGAGAUGGAAGCCUUUCCUUCGGGAACACCCCACACAGGUGCUGCAUGGUUGUCGUCAGCUCGUGUCGUGAGAUGUUGGGUUAAGUCCCGCAACGAGCGCAACCCCUGCCCUUAGUUGCCAUCAGGUAAAGCUGGGAACUCUAAGGGGACAGCUUGGUAUAACCAGGAGGAAGGUGGGGAUGACGUCAAAUCAUCAUGGCUCUUACGCCCAGGGCUAGACACGUGCUACAAUGGCAGGUACAGUGGGAUGCCAGCCUGCGAAGGUGAGCUAAUCCCUUAAAACCUGUCUCAGUCCGGAUUGGAGUCUGCAACUCGACUCCAUGAAGUUGGAAUCGCUAGUAAUCGCGGAUCAGCAUGCCGCGGUGAUACGUUCCCGGGCCUUGUACACACCGCCCGUCAAGCCAUGAAAGGCGGUAGUACCCGAAGUCGCGUACCCAACCGUAAGGAGGGAAGCGCCGAAGGUAAGACU